CAAACGGCCCUCUUUAGGGCCACAAUUUUAAUAAGUGAAAUUAGG
rfam:Meloidogyne hapla strain VW9 Mh10g200708_Contig611, whole genome shotgun sequence.